CCUACGGGAGGCAGCAGUGGGGAAUAUUGCACAAUGGGGGAAACCCUGAUGCAGCAACGCCGCGUGAGUGAAGAAGUAUUUCGGUAUGUAAAGCUCUAUCAGCAGGGAAGAAGAUGACGGUACCUGAGUAAGAACCCCCGGCGAACUCCGUGCCAGCAGCCGCGGUAAUACGUAGGGGGCAAGCGUUAUCCGGAUUUACUGGGUGGAAAGGGAGCGCAGACGGUGAGACAAGUCUGAAGUGAAAGCCCGGGGCUCAACCCCGGGACUGCUUUGGAAACUGCCUGACUGGAGUGCGGGAGAGGCAAGCGGAAUUCCUAGUGUAGCGGUGAAAUGCGUAGGUAUUAGGAAGAACACCAGUGGCGAAGGCAGCUUGCUGGACAGUAACUGACGUUGAGGCACGAAAGUGUGGGUAUCAAACAGGAUUAGAUACCCCAGUAGUC
rnacentral:rRNA from 1 species